rnacentral:rRNA from 1 species
GAGCGGUAACAUUUCUAACUUGCUACAAGAUGACGAGCGGCGGACGGGUGAGUAAUGCUUGGGAACAUGCCUUUAGGUGGGGGACAACCAUUGGAAACGAUGGCUAAUACCGCAUAAUGUCUACGGACCAAAGGGGGCUUCGGCUCUCGCCUUUAGAUUGGCCCAAGUGGGAUUAGCUAGUUGGUGAGGUAACGGCUCACCAAGGCGACGAUCCCUAGCUGGUUUGAGAGGAUGAUCAGCCACACUGGAACUGAGACACGGUCCAGACUCCUACGGGAGGCAGCAGUGGGGAAUAUUGCACAAUGGGCGCAAGCCUGAUGCAGCCAUGCCGCGUGUGUGAAGAAGGCCUUCGGGUUGUAAAGCACUUUCAGUCAGGAGGAAAGGUUAGUCGUUAAUACCUGCUAGCUGUGACGUUACUGACAGAAGAAGCACCGGCUAACUCCGUGCCAGCAGCCGCGGUAAUACGGAGGGUGCGAGCGUUAAUCGGAAUUACUGGGCGUAAAGCGUACGCAGGCGGUUUGUUAAGCGAGAUGUGAAAGCCCCGGGCUUAACCUGGGAACUGCAUUUCGAACUGGCAAACUAGAGUGUGAUAGAGGGUGGUAGAAUUUCAGGUGUAGCGGUGAAAUGCGUAGAGAUCUGAAGGAAUACCGAUGGCGAAGGCAGCCACCUGGGUCAACACUGACGCUCAUGUACGAAAGCGUGGGGAGCAAACAGGAUUAGAUACCCUGGUAGUCCACGCCGUAAACGAUGUCUACUAGGAGCUGGGGUCUUCGGACAACUUUUCCAAAGCUAACGCAUUAAGUAGACCGACUGGGGAGUACGGCCGCAAGGUUAAAACUCAAAUGAAUUGACGGGGGCCCGCACAAGCGGUGGAGCAUGUGGUUUAAUUCGAUGCAACGCGAAGAACCUUACCUACACUUGACAUACAGAGAACUUACCAGAGAUGGUUUGGUGCCUUCGGGAACUCUGAUACAGGUGCUGCAUGGCUGUCGUCAGCUCGUGUUGUGAGAUGUUGGGUUAAGUCCCGCAACGAGCGCAACCCUUAUCCUU